GGGGGCGAUUAGGAUUCGACGCCGGUAACAAAACCCGAAGUGCAUGUCGUGAGGGUAGCCAAUCACGUAAAUCCAAAGCUGCAAAUUAUCAGUUGCCAAUGAUGACAACUACGGUGCUCAACUAGCUGCGUAAGUAGCUUUUUGUUACACCAUCUAGCGGUACGCCGCUAGCGGUUUUUAACAAGGUGCCAGUACCGCGUUAACGACUGUCACUUAGAACUGGAUCGCAGUGAAGCCUGCCUGGGGUGGAUCAGCUAAACUUUUACAGGAUCGCGCUUUUCGUCCCGCCCGCUGGGCUGUAAAGCGUUAAAUCAAUAAGCGGUUCUAAGCAUGUAGAGCUGACGGCGGAGUACUGACGGACGGGGGUUCAAAUCCCCCCGCCUCCACCA
rnacentral:tmRNA from 18 species